GCUCUCACUUCAGCAGCACAUAUACUAAAAUUGGAAUGAUACAAAGAAGAUUAGCAUGGCCCCUGAGCAAGGAUGACACGCAAAGUCGUGAAGCAUUCCAUAUUUUU
rnacentral:snRNA from 1 species